rnacentral:rRNA from 1 species
AGAGUUUGAUCAUGGCUCAGAUUGAACGCUGGCGGCAGGCCUAACACAUGCAAGUCGAACGGUAACAGGAUUAGCUUGCUAAUCGCUGACGAGUGGCGGACGGGUGAGUAAUGCUUGGGAACUUGCCUUUGCGAGGGGGAUAACAGUUGGAAACGACUGCUAAUACCGCAUAACGUCUACGGACCAAACGGGGCUUAGGCUCCGGCGCAAAGAGGGGCCUAAGUGAGAUUAGCUAGUUGGUAAGGUAAAGGCUUACCAAGGCAACGAUCUCUAGCUGUUCUGAGAGGAAGAUCAGCCACACUGGAACUGAGACACGGUCCAGACUCCUACGGGAGGCAGCAGUGGGGAAUAUUGCACAAUGGGGGAUACCCUGAUGCAGCCAUGCCGCGUGUGUG